UUGGUUUGGAUCGAACCAUGGGAAGCAACAUGAAGGUUGAUUUUGAGAAGUUUGAUGGAGAAAAAAAAAUUUUCAUGUGUUGGUUCAAGCAGAUCUAGAUCAGACAUUGGAGGAGAAGCCUGAAGGGAUGAUGGAUCAUUAGUGAAUGUCUCUGGAGAAGAAGGCUUGUUCUGUAAUUAGAAGAUGUUUGGCAGAUGCAGUGCGCUAUUCG
rnacentral:lncRNA from 1 species